UACACCUACGGGAGGCAGCAGUGGGGAAUACUGCACAAUGGGGGAAACCCUGAUGCAGCGACGCCGCGUGAGUGAAGAAGUAUCUCGGUACGUAAAGCUCUAUCAGCAGGGAAGAAAAAAAGUCUUUGGCUUUGGACGGUACCUGACUAAGAAGCCCCGGCUAACUACGUGCCAGCAGCCGCGGUAAUACGUAGGUGGCAAGCGUUGUCCGGAUUUACUGGGUGUAAAGGGCGUGCAGCCGGGAAGACAAGUCAGAUGUGAAAUCCCGCGGCUCAACCGCGGAACUGCAUUUGAAACUGUUUUUC
rnacentral:rRNA from 1 species